rnacentral:rRNA from 1 species
GGGGGCAACCCUGAUCCAGCAAUGCCGCGUGUGUGAAGAAGGUUUUCGGAUUGUAAAGCACUUUCGGCGGGGACGAUGAUGACGGUACCCGCAGAAGAAGCCCCGGCUAACUUCGUGCCAGCAGCCGCGGUAAUACGAAGGGGGCUAGCGUUGCUCGGAAUGACUGGGCGUAAAGGGCGUGUAGGCGGUUUGUACAGUUAGAUGUGAAAUCCCCGGGCUUAACCUGGGAGCUGCAUUUAAUACGUGCAGACUAGAGUGUGAGAGAGGGUUGUGGAAUUCCCAGUGUAGAGGUGAAAUUCGUAGAUAUUGGGAAGAACACCGGUGGCGAAGGCGGCAACCUGGCUCAUGACUGACGCUGAGGCGCGAAAGCGUGGGGAGCAAACAGGAUUAGAUACCCUGGUAGUCCACGCUGUAAACGAUGUGUGCUGGAUGUUGGGUAACUUAGUUACUCAGUGUCGUAGCUAACGCGAUAAGCACACCGCCUGGGGAGUACGGCCGCAAGGUUGAAACUCAAAGGAA